UGGAGGGGAAAUUCGGGCUGUGUGUGUGGGGCGGUGUGGGGAUGCCCAGGGCACCUCCUGAAACCAAGCAAGGGCCCUGGGGCACUCCAGGCCACUGUCCGAGGCUCGCUUCCCUCCCCCCAGUGCCUACGGCGGCUCUUGGGCACCUCCCAGGAGCCGAGAGCUUUUUCAGCUCUGCUUUUAUCUGCAGCACCCUGAAAUACGCGUUGCUGCUCGCUCUUCCUGCACCCCCAGUGCCCGUGAGUUUCCUCCACGGCGUUUGGACUCCCAAGACGGCCUUUUUUCUUUUUGCAGGACUAGCCGUCUCACUCUCUUCCCCACCACCGGGCCCAUCUUCAGGGUCUCUCUUUCCUGUUUGCUCGCUCUGGAUUUAGGGACCCAAGGUCGAAUUCUAUAUGAUGAAAUGGGAAGCACCUUUGCUGCAUACUGCAGGUACUCUUCUGGGCUCCAGGAACGCAUCAGUGAACAAAACAGACAAUCCCUGCCCUGUGGAGCUUGCAUUGUAGUAGGAGACAGGAAAACAAGACGUUCUGGCAACACUGGAGCUUUCUACUGGCUGUGCCAUGUCUAGUGUGAGGCCUGUGGUAUCUUCAUUUAAAACCCUCCCAUCAUUCUUGACUUUUAGUUGAGGCUUUGAACCUUUCUCUUCUGCUUUUUUGAUUAACUCUGUUUAUUCUCACCUUCAGCCAGUCCUACACAUGACACCUGGUUUAUUUUUGUAAAGCACAGUUAUAUGCACUGUGGAUGGAAAAACUGUGUCACUGUUAACCAGACAAAAUCCAUCCUUGAGGGCUCUCCAUAAUCUUGUUUUGGCCUACUUUCCAAUAUUUCCUGGGGUCUAUUUAUCAAAGUUAAAGUGUAUUGUUCUCACCAUGCCUGUAAUCCUAGCACUCUGGGAGGCUGGGGUGGGCGAAUCGUUUGAGCUCCGGAGUUUGA